GUUCAAAAGUACAGACGUCCUGCGGCGCCUCCGGGACUCUCGGACUGAGGAGAAGGAGCCAACGGAAUAAACGCGAGUCUUUACGCUACCUACACACUUUCAAUACAAAGAAAACAUAAUGGAGCUGCAAAAGGCAGCAGCAGCUAUGGAGCAGGUUGUCUCAACACUGUGAUGUGUCCACCAGCAGCUACAUGUGGGUGCAUAUGGUGGAGUGUCAUUGGAUGUGGCAAGGCAGGUGGUGUGUGCUGACUGGGCUGUCAAAGAAGAUUGCUGCCACCGGAUUGGCCCUCUGCAAGACAAAAGCUUUUUAAACCACUAGCUGAAAGAAGCCCUUCCCUCUUCUGCACUUUUCCACCUCCAACAGAGCCAGAACCUUGACUUUGUGAGAUUGUUUGUUUGAGUGCCUGUGGACAAAACUUCUAAUGUGUUAAAUAGUGUGGGCUCUUGAUUACUUUGUUACUUGGGAAAGAAAUGUGACCAAUUUUGAGUGGCUGAGUUUACUUUUGUUUAACAGGUUACUUUUUAGAAUUAGUAAUGUGUUUUUGUGUAUUCUAUUGUGAACACUGUAAAUACACAGGAUUCCUACGCAA